UGGAUCCUUAAGCCUCUGUGCCAAGCCUGGGAUUGAACCUGCAUCCCAGCACUCCCAAGAUGCCACCAAUUCCGUUGUGCCACAGUGGGAACUCCAGGAGGGCUAUUUUUUUAUGAUUUUUAUUUUUUCCCUCAUAGUUGAUCUAAGGUGUUCUGUCAAGGGGAGGUCUAUUUUUGAUAGGUGUUCAGGGACGGCCUCUUUGAGGAGAUGGCAUUUCAGCUAAUGUCACAAUGAACAGUCCAGCUCUGCAAAGACCUAAAAGGGAAGCUCAAACAAGGAAAUGGGAGUUCCCACUGUGGCUUGGCAUGUUAAGAACCUGACUUAGUCUCCGUGAGGAUAUGUGUUCGAUCCCUAGCCUCCCUCAGCAGGUUCAGGUUGCCACAGGCUGUGGUGUAGGCUGCAGAUGUGGCACGGAUCCACUGUUCCUGUGGCAUAGGCUUGCAGCCCCAAUUCUACCCCUGGCCUGGGAACUUCCAUAUGCUGCAGGUGCAGGUAUAAAAAUAAAAAUUAAAAAAAAAAAAAAAAAACCUCAAGGAAAUGGCUCAUGCAAGGGCCUUAAAGAACAAAAGACUGGGAGUUCCCGUCGUGGCGCAGUGGAUAGAAUCCGACUAGGAACCAUGAGGUUGCGGGUUCGGUCCCUGCCCUUGCUCAGUGGGUUAACGAUCCGGCGUUGCUGUGAGCUUGGUGAUGGUUGCACAAUAGAAUAUACUGAAACUUCUGAAUUGUAUACUUUAAAAGGGUGACUUUUAUGGUACAUGAAUUAUAUCUCAAUUUUUAAAAUUACAGUUUAAGUGCAGAACACUGAGGAAUAAAAAAAUGUCUUCAAGAGUUCCCGUUGUGGCUCAGAGAGUUAAGAACCUGGUAAGUACCCAUGAGGAUGCAGGUUUGAUCCCUGGUCUCGCUCAUUGGGUAAGGAUCUGGGGUUGUCGAAAGCAGUGGCCUAGGUCAGAUCUGUCAUUGCUGUGACUAUGGCCUAGGCCUCAGGUGCAGCUCUGAUUCAACCCCUACCCUGGGAGCUUCUAUAUGCCGUAGGUAAGACCCUAAAAAGAACAAAGGAAAAAAAAAAGAACGUGUCUUGAGUUGUCUGAGGUCCGCAAAGAAGCCUGAACUUGCAGCAGCUACGCAGCUUUUCUGUACCUCGCCCUCCUCUUCCUCUCACAGAGCCACUUCUUACCACCUCAAAUAUCCAUCUACACCAGGAUUUACUGUUUGUACAAAAUCAAAGAAAGCAAAAGUGAAAAAAUAGGUGUAAACUAUUAGAGAUGGCUUAUCCAUAACUGUGAAAGGAUCUUUUCUCUCUCAUUUAUAACUAACACUUUACUAACACUGCUCAGCAUGAAUCUGACAUCUUAGCAAUUGUAAAGUCAGGAACUCCCUAAGCUGCUAAAAGGUAGUCUGUCAUUUUUCAAGUCACUAUAACAAGAUUCCCCCUAAUAGUCUAAGUAAUCACUAGAAAGAGAACUGACAUUUUGAAACCACGUUUCCAGGACAAAUUUUUUUUUUUUGGUGUUUUGUUUUUUUUAAAGCUAAACAAAAUCCCCAGGUGUCUGACUUCACAGGAGGCUGCAGUUGCUUUCUACUACAUUUCCUCAAAGCAAAAGCCACGAAAAAACAUUUAAAGGAAAAAAAAAAGAGAGAUGUUUACAAAUCAGGACACCAGAAAAGUACAUCAAUUUGCAAGACAGGCUUGGGGGGGAGGGGCGCGAAUGCUAUCUCCAAAUUUCCUUUUACAGAAAUGCCUUACUUGGUCCCCAGUCACACCCAAACUGGGUCAGGUAGGACACAGGCUGUCAGGGCCCGAGGCUCAGGAGGGCUUCUUCCCAGCACUCCUGGGCACUUUGCACAGGACCGUUCUUUUCUACUGAGAACACAAACGACAGACUUAAGUGGUAGCAGGACAAAUGGUGAGCUACAGGACAGAAAAAAAUCUCUGCGGCAUAAACACAGUCACGGGGUUUAUGACAGGAAUUGGAAGUCCAGGACUCCUUAUUUUUGUUUUUUUUGGCCUCCCUACGGCAUAUGGAGUUCCUGGGCCAGAGAUCAGAUCCGAGUCACAGCUGCAGCCUACACUGCAGGUGUGGCAAUACUGGAUGUUUAACCCACUGUGCUGGGCCAGUGAUCGAGAGAUGCUGCCAAUCCCACUGCACCACGGCAGGAACCCCUCCUGAGUUGUUUUGUUUUUUUUUUUCUUUCUUCUGGCUGUACCUAUGGCAUACAGAAGUUCCCCGGCCAGGGACUGAAUACAAGCCACAGCUGUGACCUACACCACAGCUGCAGCAAUGCCAGAUCCUUAACUCACUGAGCUGGGCUGGGGAUCGAACUGGCACCACCAGAGACAAGCUGGAUCAUUAACCCACUGCACCACAGCAGGAACACCUGAGUUUUGUAAUUACACUAACACAACAACAUUAACGGAAAUCAAAAUUUCUAAAAAUUCUGUCACAAGUUUGCCACCCCAAUAAAUCACAUUUUCUUCUUUCCUAUGCUCUCUUUUGGCUUUUCUAUAUGUACGUCCACAGUUCUUAUAUUUUGGAAUUUAAAAUAUUUUCUCUCUACUGAAGACUAUUAGCAGUAAUUAUGCAACCUUUAUAACCAUAUGUUCUAUAAUUUACUAAUGUGGUCAACAUUAAAGCACCUACAGCAAUUUUUGCAAUAAAAACUGUGUGGUGAGGAACUUGCCUUUUGAAGAUUUUUUACAUGAAGUUAUUAACACAUCUGUCUUGCUAGGAAGAGGAUUUGGAGUUUAAAAAUCUGACUUUUCAUAGUGGCAGCUUUGUAAAUAGAAAUAUAUUAAUAUAAGAAUAGAUUAAUAACAAGUUAUUGAUAUUAGAGUUUAAUGGGAUGCCACUUGAAGCAUGGUAAUUAACCUAAAACCCCUAAAGUGAACCUAAAAUUUUAUAAUUAUAGCACAGUGGAAAAUUACUAUUUUAAUAGUUGGCUCUAGAAUGCUUUCCAGAGGGGAGGUGGUUUAUCUAUGUUUAGGAAAAUAUUCUGAUAAGCUCCUUAAAGGUGGAAGGCAAACCUUGAAGCCACAGAUUAGAAAAAAGAGAGACAUGUCAAUUGUCUAGCAAAGAAAAUUAAUGGAAAUCUGGAGGAAGAUACGGGUGACAUGGACUACAGAGGGGAGGGAGGUGGCGUCCAAAGCUAGGUGACGAGCUGCAUCCUUCAGAACAGAGUGACUCAUGAGACAGCAAUACGCUGUGUCUGGGAGUGGGGAGGCCUUGGGGGUGGGCCGAAUGCCCCUUAGGAAAAGUACAAUCUAGGAGUUCCCACAGUGGCGCAGGGGUAUAGGUUCGAUCCCCAACACAGUGCAGUGGGUUAAAGGAUCCGGCGUUGCUGCAGCUGCAGCUCAGAUUCAUUCGCUGGUGCAGGAACUUCCAUAGGCGGCCAUUAAAAAAAAAAAAGGACAAGGAGUUCCCAUCAUGGCUCAGUGCUUAACAAAUCCGACUAGGAACCAUGAGGUUGCGGGUUGGAUCCCUGGCCUUGCCUUGCGGGUUAAGGAUCCAGCAUUGUGGUGAGCUGUGGUGUAGAUCCUUGACCCACUGAGUGAGGCCAGGGAUCGAACCCGCAACCUUGUGGUUCCUAGCCAUGACAGGAACUCCAUAACUACUUUUUUAAAAUACAAGCUUCACUUCAGCAAUACCAUGGAAUUUAGUUCCCUGAUUUUACAAAGUUGUUCCCUCUUUUUUUUUUUUGCUUUUUUAGGGCCACACCCACAGCAUAUGGAAGCUCCCAGGCUAGGGGUCCAAUCAGAGCUAUAGCUGCUGGCCUAUGCCACAGCAAUACAGGAUCCAAGCCGUGUCUGUAACCUACACUGCAGCUCAUGGCAACAUUGGAUCCUUAACCCCCUGAGCGAGGCCAGGGAUGGAACCCCCAUCUUCAUGGAUCCUAGUCGGGUUUGUGACUGCUAAGCCACAACGGGAACGCCCUCCCUCUCUCUUAAAUGAUCUCUAGCAGUGGUUCUCAAAUUGCAGAGUGUAUCGAAAUCCCCGGGGGGGGGGGGUGUCCUUAAAUUCCAGGCAGCUGAGGCCCAUGCCCUGAAUUUGUCUCUGCAGAUCCGAGCAGGGCUUGAGAAUGUAUCUCUCUUAUACAUAAACUGCCAGGUGAUAGUGAUGCUGCUGGUCCAGGGAACACACUUUAAGAACUGCUGAUCUGGAGUUCCCAUUGUGGCUCAGUGGGUUACAACACCAACUAGCAUCCAGGAGGAUGCAGGUUCAAUCCCUGGCCUCGUUCAGNNNNNNNNNNNNNNNNNNNNNNNNNNNNNNNNNNNNNNNNNNNNNNNNNUUGGGUCCUUCGUGGCUGUGGCUGGCAGCUGCAGGUCCAAUUUGAUCCUGAACCUGGGGACUUUCAUAUGCCACAGGUUCGGCCCUAAAAAGAAAAAAAAAAAAA
rnacentral:lncRNA from 1 species